rnacentral:lncRNA from 1 species
ACAUCGCGGGCUCCGGCGCCGCGCUCCUCGGCCGCCCCGGGUGCGGCUGUGGCGGGGCCCGGGUGCGGCGCGGGCCGCGGUGGCCGUCCCUCCGCAGGGCGCAGGCAGCAAACUUUGGCGGCGUCCGCGCGGCGCCGUCUCCGCCGGCGCGCCGGGCUCGCCCCUUUAUAGAGUGUCUGCGCCGCCGCCCGCGCCCCCCCCGCCGCCGCCGCCGGGCGGCCCCUCCCGGAGCGAGCGGCCGCGGGCAGGGCUCCGACCCGGCGCCUUUGUCUCGCCCGGGCCGCUCGGGCGCCGCGCCUCCUGUUCCGGGCGCGCGGGGUCGGCCGGCCGCCUUCGCUGCUCCGCCGCGGCUCUCAGCGCCGCUCAGCGCGGCGGGCCCGCCCGGGCUCAGGUGCCCCCCGCUCUCCGGACCUUCUCGCCCGGCCCCGCGUCCCCUCCGCGGGCUUCCCCCGGCGGCCGGCCGGGCUCGGAGGCUCGCGGCCGGAGCGGAGCGGAGUGCGCACGCCGGGGUGGCAGGACUUCGGCAAGACCAACUUUCCGGUUCGGAAGCGGCGCGGGCCGCGCGGCUCCUCCCCUCCUCUCCCUCCCCUGCGUUCCCCCUCCCUUCCACUCCCCCCUCUCCCCGCCCCCCAACCCGCGGGCCCCACCGACUCCGGAGCGCCCGCCCCGCCCGCUGCUGCCACCGGGCCGCCUCGCCCCCGCGCCAGCCCGCCUGGGCCUCUGCGCCGCCGGCGGCUUCUUAAAUACAGGAAAGGGAGGGGACCGCAGGGCCCCGGUGUUCCCCACCCUAGUCCCCCUUCACCACGGGCCACCGGGCGCCAGCGGAGUGGGCAGCGAGCGCGACCGAAAGUUCCAACUCCACCAAACUCCCGCGCGCGGCCCACCCUUUCCCGGGAUUUCGGGGAUGACACGGGGGCCAGGUGAGGGGGCUGCGCACUUCUGGAUCGGCCCCACACACUCGGCCCCUGGCGCGGCGCGCUCCCCGCACACGCGCCCGCCCCCUCCCCGCGGUCACACGCACGCGCCCUCGCCCUCGCCCCGCGCGCACAGGCGCGUACUCCCACCCGCGGCCGUGCACCCGCCGCGCUCCUUCCCGCGCGUGUCCUCUCUCCCCGAGCGGCCGCCAGGAUGUGCCCCCGGCCCCGUCGUCGCCGCGCCCGCGCCCCUCGCCCCAGUACGUCUUUUUUCGUUUCCUAAAUUUCUUAUUUUUGUCCUUGCAAGUGGUCCUGUCUGGUGUGAACCGUCAGCACAGAUGGCCUCCUGGAGCUUCCCCGAGUCGUUCGCUGGGGGAAGCGGGCGGUGAGCGGCCAGCCCGGGCGCUCCGCAGGCCGCGAGCUCCCGGCAGGGCUGGUGGCGGGGGUCCGCCUGGGGGAGGAAUCCCCGCCUGCUCCAUCGGACCCGGCCUGGCGCGGCUCGCGGCGCUCGGCGGGCUCCCUUCCAUUCUAGAAUCUUCCCGCUUGCUUCCCAGCCCGCGUUCUUCCGCCUGCCUUUAAUUGUGUAAGUUUGACGAAGUCAGAGCUUUGGGUUCCAGGAAAAGCGCAGGAGGGUCAUAGAGGAAGGGAGGGCGCAGGUUGGAGUCAGGUCCAAACAGUCCCUAUCGCCACUUUUGAAAAAAAAAAAAAACAACAAAAACCCUUAAGGUUGGUUUUAUUUUGCCUUUUGGUAGCGGGCGUAUUCAUUUAGAUUUUUUUUUCAAGACAGGCAAAUAAAAGGUGUUUGAAAUCUCUAGUUAUCCCGUUUAACACACCCAUCGAUGGCGCUUUUCUAGUUAAGCUACGGGGGAAACGUCUUUAUCCCGCAGUUAGGCUGCGAACUUGUGCAGAUGCUCAGGCUUUGUGGAGACGCUCCGGCAUCUGGCGCAGAGGCGCCCGGCGGGGAAAAGUUUGCAGCCCGGGCUUUGGGGCGCGCGGGGGGCAGGAAUUUUUCUGAGAAGAGAGGGGCAUAGAGAGGCGGCGCGGGUGGGGAGAGAAAAAAGGAACGCAGGGGGGAGGGGGAAAAGCAGCUUGCAGGAUGGGAGUUUCUUGCAGAAUUUACAGGAUUAAGGAGUUUGGGGAAGUCGCAGAGCUGCAGCGGAAAGGCAGGGGUCUGAGACUACUUUUGAGAAGAGAAACAACGCAAAACGAUCGCUGGAGGGCCAGAGCCCUGGUCGAAGAAGCAGACACAGGUUCCCACGGCGUCUGACGCCUGCGGAGCAAGUCCAGAGCCAGCUGGACUCGCAGCCUCUGGCCCGGCGGCACCAACUCCUCACUGGGUCAUUUUGAGCGCGCUGUGCCCACCUUUUCUGUUGCGUGUGGACGUGGGGAGGAUCUUCUAAGUCCCUCCAACGAAGGCAAGUGUGAGACUCUGGCCCUUUAUUUGUAAGAAGCAAGCCUUCAGAUUGCAGAAGUGUCGCGCGGGUCGCCGUGCGUUGCGCGAGUGGGAAGAUGGAGGAGGCCGGCACGCUGCUUUCGUGGACGCAAGUGAACCGGGCGUGAAGGCAGGGUGCGAGCUCUGCCCUUGGCCCAGCCCUGCGUGGGCGCCGUCCCAGAUUCCGGGCGGUGCGGGGUGCAGAGAUCUGGAGAGACUUGCGGGCUCCCCAGCGCAGGCUGCUCUGGGAUUUCGUUGGAAGAUCCGGCAGAGCCUUGGAGGAGAGGGCCCGGGAGGCUGUGUGUGCAGCGGAAACUUGUACGAAUGCCCCCACAGCGGAAAUGGUGCGCACGAGUAAUUUCUGCGGUGCACCCUUUUAAAAAUUGACAAGUGAACAAGAUCAAUUUUUUAAGAAAGCAAAGGUAGAAAACAAAAGGCGUGCGACUUCUUGACUGGCUUGUUCCCGCCUUUCUUCCUUCUCUAUACUCAGAUCAGAAACUUUUCUUUAAUUGCUCUUAUUCAGUGCGACAACUUUUAAUAAAAGCAUUUGCAUUUUAAGCCUGAGUUGCAACCAUAGAUUUAUUGCGAAGUGACAACGUGUCUAUGGAAUAUUUUCGCAGAUGAGACAGGACAUGCGCUCUAGUCGUGCCCAGAUUAAAGCGACGCUGGGCCAUGUGCCUGUGUAGUGCAGACUCGGAGGGGCACACACAUACUCGUCACCACAUGACCACUGUCUAUUAAUAUUGUCAUACCUAAACACUCGCAAAAACAAAAGUUG